rnacentral:rRNA from 1 species
UGAGGAAUAUUGGUCAAUGGGCGGAAGCCUGAACCAGCCAAGUCGCGUGAGGGAAGACGGUCCUAUGGAUUGUAAACCUCUUUUGCAGGGGAGCAAGACGCGGUACGUUGUACCGUGCUGGAGAGUACCCUGAGAAAAAGCAUCGGCUAACUCCGUGCCAGCAGCCGCGUAAUACGGAGGAUGCGUAAGGCGUUAUCCGGAUUUAUUGGGUUUAAAGGGUGCGUAGGCGGACUGGUAAGUCAGCGGUAAAAAUGCGGUGCUCAACGCCGUAGUGCCGUUGAAACUGCCGGUCUUGAGUGAGCGAGAAGUAUGCGGAAUGCGUGGUGUAGCGGUGAAAAUGCAUAGAUAUCACGCAGAACUCCGAUUGCGAAGGCAGCAUACCGGCGCUCAAACUGAUGCUGAGGCACGAAAGCGUGGGGGAUCGAACAGGAUUAGAUACC